UACUUCAGAGCUAUCGCCCUUAUGGAGUCACUCCCGUAUAACUUCGCAAAGACAACAAACUUGAAGGUCGGUCGCGGUAUUAUAUAAAUGAACUGAUUAUGGAAGACCACCAUUAGUUUGGGAAUUUUUCAACUGGACGGAUAUACAGCCAAUAAGGAUUAUACUACCUUAUUAUAACGCUUGCUCCUCUCUCUGCGAUAUAAUGGGCGACCUGUGCCAUGCAUGGACCUACAAACCUUCCUUAUCGAUUGCUAUUAUAUUGGUAUCAAUUUUAUGUAUGGUGCAUUGUUCAGAGAAUACUGGAGCCAUUGGAAAAGUGUUCCCACGAGGGAAUCACUGGGCAGUAGGUCACUUGAUGGGGAAGAAAAGCCUUGACAGUCUCUCUGGAUCAGAAGAUAGCAGCAACAGGGACAAUAUACCGUCUUCAGAGGAAGACAUGCUGUUGGAUAGAUAUGUGCAGCCGUCCAAGCCGGUGCAAGGCUUCAUCAGGACUCUCUGGGGACUGGAAAACAAGAGGCAGAACCAGACCCAGAGACAGGGACAGGAACAUGUUCUCUCUCGAAUGGGGGUACUCAAGACCACAAAGUGGAAAGAGACAGAUAGACACCGAUACCUCAAACAGCUGACAUACCUCAUUCGAUUGGCUUUCAACAUGAAGGAGAACACUAUCUUCAACUGAAGGCAGGCAGUCAGCUCUAGUCUGCAGCUGUCAUAUGAUGAACGGCACUACACGCCUCAGAGACUCAGUUCGAGUCGUUGCAUCCAGCGCACCUGUUCACAAUAUUUUGAAAACAAUAUAGCCUAUACUGGAGUUGACUUUAUAUGAUAUAUAAUAACAUAAUUAUCAUAAUAAUUACAUGACGUUAUCUACUAUUUAUUGUAUCCUACUCUAAAUACUACCCCCCCCCCCCCCCCCCAUCAACAACAAUGUGUAAAGAACAUUGAAUAAAUCUGAAAUUGUUGUGAUA